GCCACUGUGGCCGAGUGGUUAACACGUACACAGUAAGGCGGCAGGCUUAAGACCUGCUUACCCGGAGGGGUAGCAUGGGUUCGAACCCCAUCGGUGGCA